rnacentral:rRNA from 1 species
UACUACAAACUAAAUGUUCACUUAUUGUAAAACACGACGGGACUUCUGAAGUUGUUGCCGCAGGGCUUCCUGCUGUUGCUGUUGCUGCCGCGCUGUACGGCGGAGGCGGCGGUAGCCUUUAUACGGGGAAGAGGGGAACCUUGGGAUUGGGGAUAGGGGAGCGCGGGGGAGAGGGAGACGGUGAGCGCGGGCUGCGGGGAGCGGCAGUAGCAGCGCCGGUAACAGUAGAGGCCGCAGGCCCUCGUGCGGUUCCUCCAAGCGGUGCCGGCCGAAGCAGGUAAGUCCCCUGGUUGAGUUCGGCCCUGCGGGGAGGGGUUGCGAACGUAGCAGAAGGAGGCAGAGCCGGUAGUGUGGAGCGCAGUGGUAACGGCGACGAAACUCGGUAGGGGAUGGAGGGGCUGGAGCGGCAGCGCGAGCGCCGGCGGCAGUGGUAGCACGGGCUUGGGGGCGCACACGCAUCCACAUCAACGAGGAGGACGCACGGCGAUGAUGACGGACGCGUACGGAGCAGAUGUCAGCACGGGAACGCGGACACAUGCAACACGGACGGCAGAGUACGGAGAACAUCGGGCACGGGAGCGAGCUUGGACCGGCGUAAGGGGACGCUCACGGGACGCGCGCGCACGGACGCGGGGGCGAGGAUAACACACGACGGAACAGCACGGACGACGAAAACGACAACGGCGAUCGACGACGAGGAACCAACUAGGUCUUCGGGUCGGGUGUCGGGGGCUAAGGAGGGGGAGAGGGAAAGGAAGGAGACGGUGGCGGCGGUGGUGGACGCUGGAGGAGCGUCGGCGACGCUGACAGCGGUGGUGGACGUUGGAGGGGCGUUGGCGGUGGUGGCGGGUGUGGGAGGGGUUGCCGGCUGAGAUGGUGGGGAAAAGAGGAGGGGAAUCGAAGAGGAGUGGUAGCCGCUGGAGGGGAGGGGGAGCGUGGUCUAGCUGGUCGUCCGGUCCGUAUCGUCUCACCUCGCCUGCCCGCACGGUCUUGGUCGUAUUGUGCCAGCGCCCGCCUCUCCCGCUCCGACUCAGCGACCGCCGCCGCCCGGGCUAGACCCGCCCGUACUGCCUGCCGGAUGCGCUCGUCGCAUCCCCGCGUCCGUCGGCUGCGGAGAAGUACCUCCCGCAGUGGAGACCGUUCCAGUCCCUGGUUGCGGACAGGAAGAGGCCCUAGGGCUUCAUGGUGAUGUUCCUAGACACCUUCCGAUGACUACCUAAAGUAUGACUAAACACAAAAGGGGAAAGAUAAAGUUCCCCUGACGAGUUCCUUCCCGUACACACAAAGUCUCUAUCUAUACCUUUAACCCGCGACCUGGUUGUCCUCUUCUCCUUCCUCACCUUAGUUGACUACACGUAAUGUAAAGACAGAGAUACCUUGAGUCAAUAUAUGACAAAAUGAAGGUGGAAAGUAAAACCUCUGUACCGAUUGACAAAAGAGGUGAUAAGUUGUAGAACGGUACAAGUAGAACGUCCCCGUUUAAUACAAAGUCACUAUGUUUACUGACUACAACCAAACCCAUAUACACCAGAUCUUCCAGCAGUUCAUCAAUACCGGAGUCUAAAACAAUACCUCGUCAAAACGAAACAAUUCUUUAGCGAAUAAGCGUCUCCGUGACCUUGGUAGUCUCAAACCGAUAGGUUUACAUACUUAGACGUCGUCGUCGUCGUAGGGGGUGAGGGAAAACUGGAAAAAAACUGGAGAACAGGUGGACCAUGAGGUGAGUGAUGACCAAGAACGGAGAAACUGGUAGGUAAUCCCGAUUCGAGCGUUGUGACAUCCCCAAACCUAUUGAAUCUAUUACUCUAAAAUCAAAACCUCCAGCGGGAGUACUCUGGAAAAUAUAACCUCCUAAACUACUAGUGGGGACGAGAAUUCGACUCACGAUAAGGAUCUGACAGUGUAUGUUUCCCAGCGGGUGAUCGAUCGUGGCGUGUCGACGGGGAGUUCUCCGUGCGGUUCCUUAUAGCUGUCCGGAUGCUUCGUGAGUUCUUCUUCGCACCUCUCCCUAUAAACGUUCUUAUGCAGUUCACGGAAGGAGGUACAUCGUUGGUACAACCGGGAAGACGUGAAAACUCCGUUCUAUUUUUUCUUCGAAACGUUCGUUUGGUCGUUUUUUCCUAAGUGAGCUGAUUAUGCCACCUAAACCAACUUUGGCCUAACUCGUGGCCCUACAAAUUCCGGCUCACGCAACGUAGCACGGUUGGCUCACGUAGCAAGGUCCGCUCACGUAGCGGCCGAUUUCGGCUCACGUAGUUCGGUUAAUAACGGCGCACAUGGUUUUAUCUUCUACGUUCGAAACGACUCGUUUCCUUGCUGUUUGUGUUGUUUAACCGACACGAGCUAAAAACACCUACAUCCCCUCGAAUGUACGAUGGGAUACUCAAAGCACGAUUUCUAUAACUACUCGUAGUUCUUGUUUCAUUAUACCGACUUGUGUCAAGUCAAUUGCUACUUGUAGUUCUGGUUCUUUUACGCCGGCUCGUUUCCAUGUGUGGUUACUACUACCCCAGUUCAGAAGCUCGUUCCUAUACCAAUUUUUCACGUAGUUGGUGUUAGAACUUCUGCCUUUAAGGUAGUUUCGAUGUUACCGCUGUAGAUCGUGACCCCGUUGCUCUUUUAAGUUUCUGGCUACGUGCGUGUUAAUUUCUUUCGUUUCCGUUACCAUUCGUGUUUCGAGGCUCUCCUAGCAGCAAACAAGUUGUUGUUGUACAAUAUCUGGCUGAGUUGGUUUUUCUUAACCAGGCCUCGAGUUGCUUCUUCUACCUGCGCCAGUUCGUUCAUAUGGCUCACUUUUUCCUACCGGCGUUUACACGAUAAAGUCUAGGCUGAGGUCUACUGUUUUUCGGUCGGCUCAGAUACAACCGAUGAUUCCUGUUCUUUCACUUCGUUCAUUGAAAGUUCCUAGGUUAGCGGCUCAAACCUUUCCGGUUCGACCUCCUAGGUUUCUUUCCGUUCAAGUGUUGACUGAACGAUAAUUUCAGCCAAGUACUCCUCAAUGUUGGUUGAGAUCCCAACUGAGCCGGUGACUACCUAGAUCACGCUCAGUAUACCAGCCGACCUCUUUCGUAGAGAAUAGACGUCCUAGGUUCAAGCCUCUGUCUGCAACAAGCCGCCUCCGAACUGCCUCGUAAAACU